AAAUCUCUUAAAGCCGUUCUCAGUUCGGAUUGUAGGCUGCAACUCGCCUACAUGAAGUCGGAAUCGCUAGUAAUCGCGGAUCAGCAUGCCGCGGUGAAUACGUUCCCGGGCCUUGUACACACCGCCCGUCACACCAUGAGAGUUUGUAACACCCAAAGCCGGUGGGGUAACCUUUUGGAGCCAGCCGUCUAAGGUGGGACAGAUGAUUGGGGUGAAGUCGUAACAAGGUAGC
rnacentral:rRNA from 1 species